rnacentral:lncRNA from 10 species
GCGGGUGGAGAAGGGCCUUCGCACCGUCGGUCUCCCCGCAUUCCAAACGGCCUCCGGUCCUUCACGAGGAAGUUGAUCAUGCCCUCGGACUUGAUGAGCAGAUUGCAGCCGAGGAAGAAGAUGCCGAAGACCACGAUAAGUUUUUGGAUGUGCUUCCAGCAUUUUGUCCGUUGGCAGUAAAUCAGUUGUUGAAGGGAAUUGCUCAUCAACAUCCAUCACCUAGAACGCUGGCCAAAUACUGGGAGCCCUCCCCAUUUUCCAUAAGCUGAUGUAUUUCACCCUUAGUCAUUUAAACUAAACACAGAUGUUUUUAUAGGCCUGAUUGACGCUUCAGCCAUUGUGAUUUUGCUCUAGGUUCCAACGAAAUUCUAUAAACCUGUCAGAUUAAGUUUCUUAACUCUGAAAGAAUAUUGCAUGUUCCCGCUCCCCCUUUUCUGUUUUCUUUCCCCUCCCUCCUUUUCCCCAUUACUCCCUGCCUUCCUCCCUCUUUCUUUCAGCUGUAACAGCUGGAAACCAGUAACUUGAGCUUCCAAUAGAAUACAUUUACUUUCUAUUAAAUGUUCUCACCACAAAGAACUGAUAAAAAUUUGAGAUAAUGGGUACGCUAAUUACUCUGAUUUGAUCAUUCCACAUGUAUAUGUGUAUCAAAAUAUCACUUUGUACCUCAUAAAUAUGUACAGUUGUCAAUUAAAAAUAAAAUAAAACUGAAAAAU